AGAGUUUGAUCAUGGCUCAGGAUGAACGCUAGCGGAGGCCUAACACAUGCAAGCCGAGCGGUAUAGAAUCUUCGGAUUUUAGAGAGCGGCGUACGGGUGCGGAACACGUGUGCAACCUACCUUUAUCUGGAGGAUAGCCUUUCGAAAGGAAGAUUAAUACUCCAUAAUAUAUUGAUUGGCAUCAAUUAAUAUUGAAAGCUCCGGCGGAUAGAGAUGGGCACGCGCAAGAUUAGUUAGUUGGUGAGGUAACGGCUCACCAAGACGAUGAUCUUUAGGGGGCCUGAGAGGGUGAUCCCCCACACUGGUACUGAGACACGGACCAGACUCCUACGGGAGGCAGCAGUGAGGAAUAUUGGACAAUGGGUGCAAGCCUGAUCCAGCCAUCCCGCGUGAAGGACGACUGCCCUAUGGGUUGUAAACUUCUUUUGUAUAGGGAUAAACCUCUCCUCGUGAGGAGAGCUGAAGGUACUAUACGAAUAAGCACCGGCUAACUCCGUG
rnacentral:rRNA from 1 species